AGUGAACGCUGGCGGUAGGCCUAACACAUGCAAGUCGAACGGCAGCACAGAGGAGCUUGCUCCUUGGGUGGCGAGUGGCGGACGGGUGAGGAAUACAUCGGAAUCUACUCUGUCGUGGGGGAUAACGUAGGGAAACUUACGCUAAUACCGCAUACGACCUACGGGUGAAAGCAGGGGAUCUUUGGACCUUGCGCGAUUGAAUGAGCCGAUGUCGGAUUAGCUAGUUGGCGGGGCAAAGGCCCACCAAGGCGACGAUCCGUAGCUGGUCUGAGAGGAUGAUCAGCCACAUUGGAACUGAGACACGGUCCAGACUCCUACGGGAGGCAGCAGUGGGGAAUAUUGGACAAUGGGCGCAAGCCUGAUCCAGCCAUACCGCGUGGGUGAAGAAGGCCUUCGGGUUGUAAAGCCCUUUUGUUGGGAAAGAAAUCCAUCUGGUUAAUACCCGGGUGGGAUGACGGUACCCAAAGAAUAAGCACCGGCUAACUUCGUGCCAGCCGCCGCAGUAA
rnacentral:rRNA from 1 species